UGUGAUGGUGUGCGCCUGUAGUCCCAGCUCCUCAGGAGGUUGAGGUGGGAGGAUUGCUUGAUCCUGGGUGGUCGAGGUUGCAGUGAACUAUGAUUGUGCCACUGCACUCCAGCCUGGGUGACAGAUAAUGUCUCUUUUAGAGACAGUAGGGAGGGUCUUUUAGGGUCGCAAGACCAUUCGGGGGGAAAGAACUGCCUCUUUGACAAAUGGCGAUGGGACUGAGAACCACAUGCAAAAGAAUGUUGACCACCUGACCACACCAUAUAUGCAGAAAUUAAUUCAAAUUGGAUGAAAGUUUUUUUUUUUUGAGACUUUGUCUCAAAAAAAAAAAAAAAGAAAAGCUAAAUGACAUUGGCCAGGCAAUGGUGCUCUUGGUUUUUUUUUUUUUUUACUCUUAGGUAUAUACCCAAGAGAAUGGAAAAUAUACAUCCACACAAACAAAAACCUGUACAUCAAUGUUCACAGCAGCUCUAUUCACAAUAGCCAAAAGACGGAAACAAAUAAAAAUGUGGUCUAUCCAUACAAUGGGGUAUUAUCCAGCCAUAGGAAGGAAUGAAGUACUUCAGGAGCUCAAGACCAGCCUGGGCAACAUAGCAAGAGCUGUCGCUACUAAAAAUUUUAGCCCAAUAUGGUGGAGUGUGCCUGUAGUCCCAGCUAUUUGGGAGGUAGGAGGAUCACUUGAACCCAGGAGAUGGAGGCUGCAGUGAACUAGGAUCGCACCACUGCACUCCAGCCUGAAUGACAGAAUAAGAUCCUCUUGAAAAAACAAGCAACAAACCAGGCGCGGUGGCUCACACCUGUAAUCCCGGCACUUUGGGAGGCGGAGGCAGGUGGAUCACGAGGUCAAGAGCUCGAGACCAUCCUGGCCAACAUGGUGAAACCCCGUCUCUACUAAAAAUACAAAAAUUAGCUGGGUGUGGUGGCAUGUGCCUAUAGUCCCGGCUACUCGGGAGGCUGAAGCAGAAGAAUCGCUUGAACCUGGGAGGCAGAGGUUGCAGUGAGCCGAGAUUGCGCCACUGCAGUCCAGCCUGGUAACAGAGCGAGACUCCGUCUCAAACAAACAAAAGCAGCAAAAGAGAUAAAUGUCCAGAACGGGCAAAUCCAGAGACAGAAAGUGGAUUCGUGGGGCUUGGAGCUGGGGAACUGGGAGAAAUAGGGGCAGACUGCUGAUGGGUACAGGGUAUCUUUUUAGAGCUAUAAAAAUGCUCUGGAAUCAGGUCAUGGUAACGGUUGCACAACUGUGAUACACUAAAAGCAACUGUAUACCUUAAAAUGGGGAAUUUUAUGGUGUGCUAAUUACAUAACAUUUUUUAAGAAGAAUUGCCUAAUUACAACUGUGGAUGCUCUGCUGUGGUUGUGGAGUGCAAUGAGGAGGCAGGGACGUCCCUGAGGAGGCUGCCCUGGCUCAUGGCCCUGCCUUGGGCUCCUGGGGAGGAACAUAGAGUGAGAAGGGCCGGGCUGCCAUCUCGGCUCUGGGGCAGGUGGGGAGAGGUUGCUGCUUGGGCUUUGAGAGCAGCCAGGGAGGUAAGUAAACCCAGUGAGGAGAGGCCUCCUUAAAGCAGACAGCAGUGCUGGGAAGGCAGGUCGGCCACCAGGCCACGUCCCGGGACAGCACACUGGCCACCUGGGUGUCCUUCCCCAAGUGCAUUCCACAACACAAUCUGGGUGCAAGGAACAUUUUAUUCCAUAACUGUCUCCACCGAAGCCGCAGAAGCAAAGCCAGGAGCAGAAUC
rnacentral:lncRNA from 1 species